AUACUCUGGUUUCUCUUCAAAUCGUAUAGAUCUUUUAUCUUUCACUAAAAAUUUCCAUGGAAAGUAAACCAAGAGUGUACUAAUUCUAACACUUGAGUGAUGUGUUGAUAACU